UUUAGCAUCAGGCUUAUUUGCCAUAAUGCCAUUACCUACAGCAUGGAGUAAGUGCGUUUUACCUAAGCCCGUACCACCGUA
rnacentral:antisense_RNA from 1 species